rnacentral:rRNA from 1 species
AAAAAAGUGGCACUGGGUUUCCGUUACUCGCGCCCCGUCGUGUUGCAUGAAUGUAGCAAUACAUUUGAUGGCGACCGGCAAACGGGUGCGGAACACGUACACAACCUUCCUAUAAGUGGGGAAUAGCCCAGAGAAAUUUGGAUUAAUACCCCGUAACAUAACGAUGUGGCAUCACAUUGUUAUUAUAGCUUCGGCGCUUAUUGAUGGGUGUGCGGCUGAUUAGAUAGUUGGCGGGGUAACGGCCCACCAAGUCUACGAUCAGUAGCUGAUGUGAGAGCAUGAUCAGCCACACGGGCACUGAGACACGGGCCCGACUCCUACGGGAGGCAGCAGUAAGGAAUAUUGGUCAAUGGACGCAAGUCUGAACCAGCCAUGCCGCGUGAAGGAUUAAGGUCCUCUGGAUUGUAAACUUCUUUUAUCUGGGACGAAAAAAGGCGAUUCUUCGUCACUUGACGGUACCAGAUGAAUAAGCACCGGCUAACUCCGUGCCAGCAGCCGCGGUAAUACGGAGGGUGCAAGCGUUAUCCGGAUUCACUGGGUUUAAAGGGUGCGUAGGCGGGCAGGUAAGUCAGUGGUGAAAUCCUGGAGCUUAACUCCAGAACUGCCAUUGAUACUAUCUGUCUUGAAUAUUGUGGAGGUAAGCGGAAUAUGUCAUGUAGCGGUGAAAUGCUUAGAUAUGACAUAGAACACCUAUUGCGAAGGCAGCUUACUACGCAUAUAUUGACGCUGAGGCACGAAAGCGUGGGGGAUCAAUUCAGGAUUAGAUACCCUG